CCGGGAUAGCUCAGCUGGUAGAGCAGAGGACUGA
rnacentral:tRNA from 1 species